rnacentral:rRNA from 1 species
UACAGAUGGGAGGCGAGCGUUGUUCGGAAUUACUGGGCGUAAAGGGCGCGUAGGCGGCCCGCUAAGUCGAACGUGAAAUCCCCAGGCUCAACCUGGGAACUGCGUCCGAUACUGGCAGGCUUGAAUCCGGGAGAGGGAUGUGGAAUUCCAGGUGUAGCGGUGAAAUGCGUAGAUAUCUGGAGGAACACCGGUGGCGAAGGCGGCAUCCUGGACCGGUAUUGACGCUGAGGCGCGAAAGCUAGGGGAGCAAACGGG